GGUAGCUCAGUGGUAGGGCGUCCGCCUGCUAGGCGGAAGGUCCUGGGUUCACUUCCCGGU
rnacentral:ncRNA from 16 species